GAUGAACGCUGGCGGCGUGCCUAAUACAUGCAAGUCGAGCGAACAGACGAGGAGCUUGCUCCUCUGACGUUAGCGGCGGACGGGUGAGUAAAACGUGGAUAACCUACCUAUAAAACUGGGAAAACUUCGGGAAACCGGAGCUAAUAACGGAAAAUAUAUUGAACCGCAUGGUUCAAUAGGGAAAGACGGUUUUGCUGUAACUUAUAGAUGGAUCCGCGCCGCAUUAGCUAGUUGGUAGGGAAACGGCUUACCAAGGCAACGAUGCGUAGCCGACCUGAGAGGGUGAUCGCCCACACUGGAACUGAGACACGGUCCAGACUCCUACGGGAGGCAGCAGUAGGGAAUCUUCCGCAAUGGGCUAAAGCCUGACGGAGCAACGCCGCGUGAGUGAUGAAGGUCUUCGGAUCUUAAAACUCUGUUAUUAGGGAAGAACAAAUGUGUAAGUAACUAGGCACGUCUUGACGGUACCUAAUCAGAAAGCCACGGCUAACUACGUG
rnacentral:rRNA from 1 species